rnacentral:rRNA from 1 species
UACGUAGGGUGCAAGCGUUAAUCGGAAUUACUGGGCGUAAAGCGUGCGCAGGCGGGUAUGCAAGACAGAGGUGAAAUCCCCGGGCUCAACCUGGGAACUGCCUUUGUGACUGCAUAGCUAGAGUACGGCAGAGGGGGAUGGAAUUCCGCGUGUAGCAGUGAAAUGCGUAGAUAUGCGGAGGAACACCGAUGGCGAAGGCAAUCCCCUGGGCCUGUACUGACGCUCAUGCACGAAAGCGUGGGGAGCAAACAGG